rfam:Salmo salar isolate Sally breed double haploid chromosome ssa02, whole genome shotgun sequence.
UGCACCAAUAUUUGUAAGUCGCUCUGGAUAAGAGCGUCUGCUAAAUGACGUAAA